rnacentral:rRNA from 1 species
UACGGGGGGGGGCAAGCGUUUGUUCGGAAUUACUGGGCGUAAAGGGCUCGUAGGCGGCCAACUAAGUCACACGUGAAAUCCCUCGGCUCAACCGGGGAACUGCGUGUGAGACUGGAUGGCUUGAGUUUGGGAGAGGAAUGCGGAAUUCCAGGUGUAGCGGUGAAAUGCGUAGAUAUCUGGAGGAACACCGGUGGCGAAGGCGGCAUUCUGGACCAACACUGACGCUGAGGAGCGAAAGCCAGGGGAGCAAACGGG